rnacentral:rRNA from 1 species
GAUGAACGCUGGCGGCGUGCCUAAUACAUGCAAGUCGAACGAAACUUCUUUAUCACCGAGUGCUUGCACUCACCGAUAAAGAGUUGAGUGGCGAACGGGUGAGUAACACGUGGGCAACCUGCCCACAAGAGGGGGAUAACACUUGGAAACAGGUGCUAAUACCGCAUAACCAUAGUUACCGCAUGGUAACUAUGUAAAAGGUGGCUAUACUACCGCUUUUGGAUGGGCCCGCGGCGCAUUAGCUAGUUGGUAGGGUAAAGGCUUACCAAGGCAAUGAUGCGUAGCCGAAGGGAGAGGUUGAUCGGCGACAUUGGGAGUGAGACACGGCCAAAACUCCUACGGGAGGCAGCAGUAGGGAAUCGGCCACAAUGGGCGAAAGCCUGAUGGAGCAACGCGGCGUGGGUGAAGAAGGUCUUCGGAUCGUAAAACCCUGUUGUUAGAGAAGAAAGUGCGUGAGAGUAACUGUUCACGUUUCGACGGUAUCUAACCGGAAAGCCACGGCUAACUACGUG